rfam:Ixodes scapularis strain Wikel colony gcontig_1107728677454, whole genome shotgun sequence.
UCCUGGUGAGCUCAGUUGUUAGAGCACUCCGCUGGAGAUGGAGAGGUCACUGGUUCGAAACCGACCAGGCG